UUAUUAUUCGAGUUGAUUGUUGAGAACCACAGGAGUGAUCUGGAAGGUGAGGACGCUGCUGAGCGUUGGUGUUGCUGCGUGUCCUCUCAUUUACAAUUUUAAGAAUAGUCAUCUACAAACACCAAGAUGUUGGUUAGCUUCUCGGGAAGCCAAACCUGUUGGACUGGACCAGCUCUGUUCUUCCUGCUUCCUGGGAGUGCUGCUAUCGACAAUUUCUCUGGAACCUUGUCAGGCUUAGAGGACUCUUGUUCCUGGUCUGAGGCUCUGAAAGCCUCAUGUCAUGAAGUGUUCCCUCCCCAUUUGUGGUUUCCUUGUGAAAGCUGUUUGCCACGACCCUGAUAAGGCCAGCAUUUCUGAGGGGAAGAUGUGGGCCUGGAAAGGCACCGAGGACAAGAACAGGGCCAGGGAGAGACUGGGUAGUGUUGAGGAGCCCGUGUGCUUUGCAACAGUCCUUCCUGCAGGCUCUCAAAAGAAUAUAAAUCGGCAUCAGGGCUGGUAAGAGCAUGGACGCUGAGGUUCCUUGGGACUUUCUAUGUAAACAGUCAAGUUGUCUGUUCUUGAAAAGGGAGCUUAGAUUAUUGAUUUGAGACACACAGACUGUGUCCUCCAACCCUAGCAGACUUAAACCAGAAAUCAAUAACAGAAGAAAGAAAAAUAACAGGAAAAUCUCAGAGAUGAAGCCUCCAGGAAAAUAAAACAAACACAUUGAUCUAAAUAAAAAUGAUA